CAGCAGCCGCGGGAAUACGAAGGGGGCUAGCGUUGCUCGGAAUGACUGGGCGUAAAGGGCGCGUAGGCGGCGAUCAAAGUCAGGCGUGAAAUUCCUGGGCUCAACCUGGGGGCUGCGCUUGAUACUUGGUUGCUUGAGUGUGGAAGAGGGUUGUGGAAUUCCCAGUGUAGAGGUGAAAUUCGUAGAUAUUGGGAAGAACACCGGUGGCGAAGGCGGCAACCUGGUCCUUGACUGACGCUGAGGCGCGAAAGCGUGGGGAGCAAACAGGAUUAGAUACCCGGGUAGUCCCUGUCUCUUAUAC
rnacentral:rRNA from 1 species